rnacentral:rRNA from 1 species
UGGCAAACGGGUGAGUAACACGUGGGAACGCGCCCUCUAGUGGGGAAUAACGCUGAGAAAUCAGUGCUAAUACCGCAUAUGGUCUAACGACUAAAGCAGUGAUGCGCUAGGGGAGCGGCCCGCGUCCGAUUAGCUAGUUGGUGGGGUAAUGGCCUACCAAGGCGGUGAUCGGUAGCUGGUCUGAGAGGAUGGUCAGCCACACUGGGACUGCGAACGGCCCAG